GGAGUCGGCCGGGCAGCCGCUGUGCUCACGCGCAGAGGAAAGUCCGGGCUCCACAGGACAGGAUGCCAGGUAACGCCUGGGGGGCGCGAGCCCACGGAAAGUGCCACAGAAAACACACCGCCGAUG
rnacentral:RNase_P_RNA from 1 species